rnacentral:rRNA from 1 species
GAAUCCUACGGGACGCAGCAGUGAGGAAUAUUGGUCAAUGGGCGGAAGCCUGAACCAGCCAAGUCGCGUGAGGGAAUAAGGCCCUACGGGUCGUAAACCUCUUUUGCCGGGGAGCAAGGGCGGGGACGUGUCCCGGCCCGGAGAGUACCCGGAGAAAAAGCAUCGGCUAACUCCGUGCCAGCAGCCGCGGUAAUACGGAGGAUGCGAGCGUUAUCCGGAUUUAUUGGGUUUAAAGGGUGCGUAGGCGGGCUGCCAGGUCAGCGGUAAAAUUGCGGGGCUCAACCCCGUCGAGCCGUUGAAACUGG